CACAGAUGUGCAAUAAACCCAGAGAAACCACAGAAACGGUGUUGAACCCAGCACCUUCAAUGUCUGGUGACACUGAACCUCAGGAAAGAGUUGACAACAAGAAAGCCAAUAGAAGGUCAACAGAUGCAACUUUUCCUGACCUGUGUGGUCCACCGUGCGAAGCUCUGACAAAGCCUGAGAAUAUUUUGGCCAGCCGUUCAUCCUGGUGUUUUGUACCGCACCCUGGCCAACAACAGCUUCUCAACUAUGUUCUGGACAUCAGCAGACCCAAAGAUGAGCUGAUUGUUGAAACGUCUUCUGGAUGCAUCACGCGGGCAGAUUUUUGGACACUGGGUUUAAACAAACAAAUGGAAUCGACUAUUGGAAAUGGCUGUUUUGAGCUUAUCACUAAAAUUGUUC
ensembl:lncRNA